rnacentral:sRNA from 1 species
GCUAUCUCAUCUAACACUUCCUCAUCCAUCUCAUAAUCCUUUAGUCUUGAUGGUAGUAUAACUUGUCUUCUUGGUCGAUCUCUUGCUAUCUGUCGAGUUCUCUGAUUCUCUUCUGAUUCUGUGUCUACAUGACCUGUAGCAAAAGACUAUAGAGAUUCAUCUAAAGCUUUCUCUGUAGCUCCACUUUGAACUGAGCUGUCUCCAUCUUUGUUGGAACCUGCACAUUCAAAACUAGAAACUUUAUU